UACGGAGGGGGCUAGGCGUUGUUCGGAAUUACUGGGCGUAAAGGGCGCGUAGGCGGCGCGAUAAGUUGGGCGUGAAAGGCCCGGGCUCAACCCGGGGACUGCGCUUGAUACUGUCGCGCUGUGAGUCCGGGAGAGGAUGGCGGAAUUCCCAGUGUAGAGGUGAAAUUCGUAGAUAUUGGGAAGAACACCGGUGGCGAAGGCGGUUCUCUGGGCCUGACCUGACGCUGAGGAGCGAAAGCGUGGGGAGCGAACAGG
rnacentral:rRNA from 1 species